AAACCAGCACCUCAAGUGGUCAGGAUGAUUAUUGGGCCUAAAGCAUCCGUAGCCGGCUCUGUAAGUUUUCGGUUAAAUCUGUACGCUCAACGUACAGGCUGUCGGGAAUACUGCAGAGCUAGGGAGUGGGAGAGGUAGACGGUACUCGGGAGGAAGUGGUAAAAUGCUUUGAUCUCUCGAUGACCACCUGUGGCGAAGGCGGUCUACCAGAACACGUCCGACGGUGCGGGAUGAAAGCUGGGGGAGCAAACCGGAUUAGAAACCCGAGUAGUCC
rnacentral:rRNA from 1 species